AUAAAAAUCCUCUAAACCUUUUACAAUACAUACUCAAGAAAAUCAAUCACCCUCAUCUUCCAAUAUGCUUAAUUGUAUACAUCCAAAUAUGGAGGUCUUAUCAACCUCCUUUUUAAAGAUUUUUGGUAUUCAUUCACAUCGAAUGUGUUUGGUGGAGGAUCUAAUGUUAGCUGAUCGUUCAUAAGCAUCAAAUAUUCUGCAUUUGUUGCAUAAUUGUUGUGAAAUAAUUCGAAAACGAAGUAGUGGAUUCUUAAUUCUUUAUUAUUAAUUCACGAAUUUCAAUCUUAGUGCUUACAUUUGAUAUUAGAUUAGGUGUUCAUGUGGGUUUGUUGACUUUGACUUUCAAGUGUUAGGUUCUGGUUUACAUUGUGAAAUUGGCACAAAAAAGAGGGAUGGAAGGUAGUAAUAGACGGUGGAAGGAGUUUUUGAGUGUUUAUGAUAACAAGUUUGGGUAGAGUUUGAAUGAUCGAUCAAGGUGGGCACCUGAUGCAUCGAUUGAUUUUUUGAGGAGAAGAAGACUGAUGUCCAAGCUAGAGUUCUUGAAAUCUAUGAGGCUUCAAGUGCCGAAACUAAGGCAGUGGUGAAGGAACGCAAGGAAGGCGCCUUGAAAAAGGUUUCUUUGGCAGUUGAAAAGUUUUUGUAGAACUCUCUAAAAUAGACUUAGAGGUGAAGAUGGUUCGAACCACAGAAAGAAAAAAUAUGGAUGAUUUCAGCAAACAGAGCAGUAAAACUCCAUGGACAAAUGAAAUAAGAAGACAUGAUGGUAAAGAUGGUUUGAAGCAUAGCAAGAACAAAAAGGACGAUUCCAGCAAAUAGCGCAAUGAUACUCCAUGGACUAUUGAAAUAAGUACGCUUUAACUUCACAAUCUUUCUGGGCCAGUAACCUUUGAAAUGGCUAUCUAGCUGUUCCCAUUGUUCAGUGUAAUAGAAAUGUUCAGGGGCAAGUUCCUUGCAUAUCUUGUUUAUCAUAUUUGCAGCCUCUUCAUUUGAACCUAUAUGAUUGACGAUAACUUUUGACGUCA